GGAACAGAGGAGAAGCUAACACAGGGAGUUUGCCAGGGUGGGGAGUUUUCCACAGAAUUUUUGCUUUUCAGGCUUCUGUGAGCAGUAAUUACCAUAUCUGAAGAGAUUCUUAGAAGAAAGACCAUAUGGAUAGUGAGUGAUCAGCUGUUGUGACAUGAAUGGGCUGUCACCUGUUUGCCUUUCUCCUAGAGGUAUAGGUGCUGACUUGUGGGUGCUCAGGGGCUGGAGCACCCACUGGAAAAAAAAAUAGGGGUGCUCAGCAUCCACUGGCACCAGUCAGCUGUUAAUGGGACCUGGGGGGCCUGUGAGUCCCAUCAGCUGUUUUGGCAGGGCCAGGACCUGCUGAUCAGCUGUUUCCAGCAGCAUAGCCAAAACAGCUGUUUCUGGCCAUGCAUCUUCUGUUUUGGCUGCCAGCCAAUCAGCUAUUUCAGUGACCAGGACCUGCUCCUGGGGCAGGGGCUGACUAACCCCAUCAGCCACCACCUAGUAGUGGUGCUGCCCUACCUGCUUCUUGUGGGCAGGUGUGUUUUGUGUGGCUCUGCAGCUCCCAGCCUGGCUUCAACCUCACCCAAUGAAAGGUGGCAGCAGCAGCCGGUCUUCAGAAACACUGGAGGAACGCUAUCAGCCCCUACAGCUUUCCAUCUUUUGGUUUCCAACAGCACAACAUUGAUCUCCUCAACAAAGUAUGGAGAGGAAAAUGGAGAUUACUCAGUGUAUUGGUGAUGGUUUCUGUGGAAUUUCGGCUGGACCCUCCUGGAGGACAAUAAAGAGAGCCCUGAAGAAAGAGACGGAAACCUAACAUGGGUGUGGCUGUCCAUCUAUCCCCAACUGAUGAUGAAGGGGCAUGAGCCUGUACUCAUCCCAUUAAGAGCUUUGAAGAUCAAGAUUAAGACUUUUAAAUUGAUUCAAACUGAGAAUUCUAUGGGAAGUCAGUGAGGUGACAAGAGCACUGCAUUGACAUGUUUGUACGGAAGUGUAAGCUAUUAGUAGCAGAGACCAGCCUGGAAUGUUGAGGGCUGAAGCUUGCAUUCCAUCAGUGACCACAUGCUUUUCUAAGGAUGAUGUGUUGUUUACAAGCUCGUCUCAAUGUUUUCUCCUAUGACCUAGUUUCACCUCCAUCUGUACUAUGUUCAACUUUUAACAGCUGCUAUUCACUC